rnacentral:misc_RNA from 1 species
AAGUCGUAACAAGGUCUCCGUAGGUGAACCUGCGGAGGGAUCAUUACAGAGUUUAUGCCCUUACGGGUAGAUCUCCCACCCUAUGUUAUUAUUACCUUUGUUGCUUUGGCGGGCCGUCAGGCCUCGGUCAGGCUACUGGCUCCGGCUAGUAAGCGCCCGCCAGAGGACCCUAAACUCUGAAUAUUAGUGUCGUCUGAGUACUAUAUAAUAGUUAAAACUUUCAACAACGGAUCUCUUGGUUCUG